AGCAGCCGCGGUAAUUCCAGCUCCAAUAGCGUAUAUUAAAGUUGUUACAGUUAAAAAGCUCGUAGUUGAAUUUCGGGAUCAAGGAAUCGGUCAUGCCUCGGUAUGUACUGGUUUUAUUGGUUCUCACCUUCUAAAGAACCAUAAUGUCAUUCAUUUGAUGUUAUGGGGAAUUAGGACUGUUACCUUGAAAAAAUUAGAGUGUUUAAAGCAGGCUCACGCUUGAAUACAUUAGCAUGGAAUAAUGAAAUAGGACGUUUGAUUCUAUUUUGUUGGUUUCUAGGAUCGACGUAAUGAUUAAUAGGGAUAGUUGGGGGCAUUAGUAUUCAAUUGUCAGAGGUGAAAUUCUUGGAUUUAUUGAAGACUAACUACUGCGAAAGCAUUUGCCAAGGAUGUUUUCAUUAAUCAAGAACGAAAGUUAGGGGAUCGAAGACGAUCAGAUACCGUCGUAGUCUUAACCAUAAACUAUGCCGACUAGGGAUCGGAUGAUGUUAAUUUUUUAAUGACUCA
rnacentral:rRNA from 1 species